rnacentral:lncRNA from 1 species
CCUUGAAGCCACCAGAAGUGCUGUCUGUUUUGUUCCAAGGCCUUGUCUGGACAUAAUUGACAGCAAUAUAGACACACUCUUGGAAUAUAAGGGGGAGGUCGGAUUCUGGUUGUCCUCGGUUGUUCUCAAAUUACACGAUAAAGCAGAUGUAGAUGUUUUAGAUCCUUUAAACCAGAAAGAGUCAUAGAGUCCAGUUAUAAAAUCCGUAACAUGUUAGCAGGACUUCUUAUAGCUCUAGUCACAGAACAGCCUAGGAACUCCUCACUACAAAGGCAAGGUGCUUGCUCUAAAAUUAGUUUGCCUAUUUGGGAAAUGAAGACUUCCUGUGGUUUGAGGUUCAGCUCUUUUUCUGAAUUGUUGCAAUCUGUACUCAGGGCCCUUAAGAUCUAGGUUAGGUUUUGUUUGGUGUAGUUUUUGCACCCUAUGGAAAUCAGUUAUUAGCACUUUGUUAAUAUUGUUCACUUAGUUCUUGGGGGAAUACUGCCUAAGGUAUGCAAGAGGCCAUGCCCAAUUCAGACUUGGCCAGCAAAUUCGAUCAUGGGUUCAUACUAUCACAGAAACAGACCAGAGGCAGCGAAUUCUAUCACUACAACACGUUCUCAUUUACUCUUCCCUUCCAAAGGUUGAGAGGAGGGAUUGAAGCAAACAGACGGAUAACAGGGAAAAAUAUGUCAUGAACCAUCAUGGAAAUGGGGCUGGUAGAGCGCUAUUGUAUCAUCCGGGCUCUUCUUUGGCAACUGAAGGACAGGUCGGCUCCCGAAUCUGCCUCAUUGCUGCCAAGGAGAAGCCAACCAGACAUGGGAUGCAGCCCUACCUCACCAUUGUGGUGCAGUUAAGGCAGUCCUCCUCGUACUUUGAGGGUCCUUGUCGUAUGUCCUAUCAUUUAAUGAGUCAUGAGAUGGAUGAGCUGUAUCGACUUGAUUAGUGGUGCCUACUUCAGCCUCAGUUCUUCAGACUGGGUCUAAGCUUAUUAAGCACAAAGUAAAGGGAAAUAGAAUUUUGGUCACAUUUUAUUAAACAGUGUUUAUAUUAAACAUCUUAUUAAACACUAGUUUUCAGAAUAAAGAAAAUGUCCCUCAUGCUCUCCA